UCCUACGGGAGGCAGCAGUGAGGAAUAUUGGACAAUGGAGGCAACUCUGAUCCAGCCAUGCCGCGUGCAGGAAGACGGCCCUAUGGGUUGUAAACUGCUUUUAUACAGGAAGAAACGUAGGUACGUGUACCUAUUUGACGGUACUGUAUGAAUAAGGAUCGGCUAACUCCGUGCCAGCAGCCGCGGUAAUACGGAGGAUCCAAGCGUUAUCCGGAAUCAUUGGGUUUAAAGGGUCCGCAGGCGGUUUGUUAAGUCAGAGGUGAAAUCCUACCGCUCAACGGUAGAACGGCCUUUGAUACUGACAGGCUUGAGUUAUUGUGAAGUAGUUAGAAUGUGUAGUGUAGCGGUGAAAUGCAUAGAUAUUACACAGAAUACCGAUUGCGAAGGCAGAUUACUAACAAUAUACUGACGCUGAGGGACGAAAGCGUGGGUAGCGAACAGGAUUAGAUACCCUGGUAGUCCACGCCGUAAACGAUGGUCACUAGCUGUUUGAUGUACAUUGGUACGUUGAGUGGCUAAGCGAAAGUGAUAAGUGACCCACCUGGGGAGUACGCUCGCAAGAGUGAAACUCAAAGGAAUUGACGG
rnacentral:rRNA from 1 species